rnacentral:lncRNA from 1 species
GAGAUAUUAAGAGUUAUGUUUAAGUAAGUUUGGUCCUCAUUUGAGUCCACCUGUGUAGGUACGGACCCGAGAGACCAAGGAGGCCCACAGAGUUAGAGUUACAGAGACUGCUCAGCAGUUGCCAGAGGUGAGUGGAACAGAACUUGAUUUUAAAAGUUAAGAACUGUUUUAGCAUGAUUCAUGCCUCAUUAAUGCCAUGUUUAUAUAGGAUGCUUUGCAUUAGUAUUCACCAAGUUGAGGCAUUGCAUUAUUACUUGUAUAUGUGGAUUGGACCGAGGCGAUCUCAAUAGCCCAUAAGUCUGUCAUUAUUGUAUGUCCUGUGUGAGCUCCUUUGGGGCCGGGCAUUUACCUUGGAUGAGUCCUGUGAGAGCCCUUAUAGGGUCGGGCACCAUGAGUAGUUAGUGAAAGACCUGUGUGAGCUCCUUUGGGGGCCGGGCACUGACAGAGGGAGUUUUGGGAUCAUGUCCAAUCCGAGAUGUGAAAUGUUUGUGCAGUGAUGCAUCAUAUGAUAGCAUAUUUUAAUGUGUUUUUUAUAGAUUCCGCUCACUGGGCUUUAGCAGCUCAUCCCUCUCCCUAACCCCAUUUUUCAGGGCCUCAGAGAAGAGAAAGAGAAAGAGAUAGCAAGGGUAAAAGCAUAUGUAAUAGUAUAGAAUAGUGGACAUGAU